rnacentral:tRNA from 1 species
GCAGCCGUGGCCUACUGGUUAGCGCUUCGGACUUGUAACCAGAGGGUUGCCGCUUCAAACCCGACCGGCGGUA